rfam:Myotis brandtii contig266147, whole genome shotgun sequence.
GGUGGUUCUUAGGUGACACACCCUGAAAUCAGGCUCCCACCUCUCUGGUUCUGGUUGUGUCACCUGGGAACCGCA